rnacentral:lncRNA from 1 species
GUCAUUGCCUUUCAAGAUGAGGCAGAGAUCCUUGUCUUGCAAUGCCCAGUGUGCUAAGCUUUCUCACUUCCAGCAGUGGGGAAGGGUCAGAGAUUGUGUUGUUGUAUGCAUCCUCGGUGGCAUUAUUAACUGGAGCUUUUCAAACAGACGAAGUAUGUUACUGUGGCUAAAUUGUAAUGAAAGAAGAGAUGGCUGUUUGCCAAUAAAUGAAACAAAACAGAACUUUGCACUAAUCUGCCUCAGAGUAAAAGAGAAUACACUAAGGCUUAUUAGACUUGAGUUCCAGGCACUGGCAGUCAGUGGAAGCAUCAACACCAGAACCACAAAACUGAGCCUUAUAUGGGUGGAUGAAGUCUCCUGA